GACCUGGCUCAGAACGACGCUGGCGGCAUGCCUAACACAUGCAAGUCGAACGAUGCCUUCGGGCAUAGUGGCGCACGGGUGCGUAACGCGUGGGAAUCUGCCCUUGGGUUCGGAAUAACUCAGAGAAAUUUGAGCUAAUACCGGAUGAUGACGUAAGUCCAAAGAUUUAUCGCCCAAGGAUGAGCCCGCGUAAGAUUAGCUAGUUGGUGGGGUAAAGGCCUACCAAGGCGACGAUCUUUAGCUGGUCUGAGAGGAUGAUCAGCCACACUGGGACUGAGACACGGCCCAGACUCCUACGGGAGGCAGCAGUGGGGAAUAUUGGACAAUGGGCGAAAGCCUGAUCCAGCAAUGCCGCGUGAGUGAUGAAGGCCUUAGGGUUGUAAAGCUCUUUUACCAGGGAUGAUAAUGACAGUACCUGGAGAAUAAGCUCCGGCUAACUCCGUG
rnacentral:rRNA from 1 species